rnacentral:lncRNA from 1 species
GCUGAACAAUCAGACAAUACAAAUGAAGAUCUGAAUCAGCUGCAGCACAUUUUAUUUAUUUUUCUCGGUGGAGAUGAAAUAAGUAAAAUAGUGGAACAAGUAGAUAACUGUUGCAGGAAGAACAGCUGAAAAUACGACAGACACUAGUAUGAGGCAUGAGGCAUGACAUGGACCCAGCAAAACCAUCAAAAAUGUCAAUCAUGAUGCUUAUACUACCAUAUGCAAUUGUGACACCAGUGAAGAUAAUGAAAAUGCUCCCAUUAGUACCAAGCCCUCCUUUGAUGAGUGCUUUUGAUUCAAACUGGACUGGAGACAAGAAUUAGGUCCUCCUAAGAGAGGGCCUAAAGCAGUUUUCUGAAUAAACACAACUUUGAAAAUGUUUCUGUGGAGCA